CAUGAAGUUGGAAUUGCUAGUAAUCGUGAAUCAGAUAUGUCACGGUGAAUAUGUUCCUGGGUCUUGUACUCACCGCCCGUCAUAGCAUGGGAGGUGUUUCUAUCGGAAGCUCCUGAAGUAAUAUUAGGAAUCAUGGUGGAGAUACUGACUGGGCUAAAGUCGUAACAAGGUAUCCGUAGGAGAACCUGCGGAUGGACUAUCUCCUUU
rnacentral:rRNA from 1 species